AGCAGCCGCGGUAAUUCCAGCUCCAAUAGCGUAUAUUAAAGUUGUUGCAGUUAAAAAGCUCGUAGUUGAAUUUCGGGAUCAAUAUGUCGGUCGUGCCUUGGUACGUACUGGUAUCAUUGGUUUCUCCUUUCUGACGAACCAUGAUGUCAUUAAUUUGGUGUUAUGGGAAGUUAGGACUGUUACUUUGAAAAAAUUAGAGUGUUUAAAGCAGGCUUUAGCUUGAAUACAUUAGCAUGGAAUAAUGAAAUAGGACGUUCGAACCUAUUUUGUUGGUUUCUAGGAUCAACGUAAUGAUUAAUAGGGAUAGUUGGGGGCAUUAGUAUUCAAUCGUCAGAGGUGAAAUUCUUGAAUUUAUUGAAGACUAACUACUGCGAAAGCAUUUGCCAAGGAUGUUUUCAUUAAUCAAGAACGAAAGUUAGGGGAUCGAAGACGAUCAGAUACCGUCGUAGUCUUAACCAUAAACUAUGCCGACUAGGGAUCGGAUGAUGUUAAUUUUUUAAUGACUCAUUCGGCGCCUUAC
rnacentral:rRNA from 1 species